GACGAACGCUGGCGGCGUGCUUAACACAUGCAAGUCGAACGGAGUGGCGAACGGGUGAGUAACACGUUGGUGAUCUGCCUUGCACUUCGGGAUAAGCUUGGGAAACUGGGUCUAAUACCGGAUAGUGCAAGAUGAGCUCGCGGCCUAUCAGCUUGUUGGUGGGGUAUUGGCCUACCACGGCGCCGACGGGUAGCCUGCCUGAGAGGGUGUACGGCCACAAUGGGACUGAGGUACGGACCAGACUCGUACGGGAGGCAGCAGUGGCGAAUAUUGCACAAUGGGCGGAAGUCUGAUGCAGCGACGCCGCGUGUGGGAUGAAGGCCUGCGGGUUGUAAACGCCUUUCGACAGGGACGCGGUACCUGUAUAAGAAGCACCGGCUAACUACGUGCCAGCAGCCGCGGUAAUUC
rnacentral:rRNA from 1 species